GACCUCGUAACUCAGUUGGUAGAGUACCACACUUUUAAUGUGGGAGUCGUGAGUUCGAGUCUCACCGGGGUCA
rnacentral:tRNA from 1 species